CCAGAGCGAAAACCAGAGAUUCAUUUUCUAGGGUUUUAUUGAUUCGCUAUACUACGAAGAGGAAGAAAUGAUAAGAUUCUUUGAUCUCUACUUGUGUAUCUACUGAUGAUGUUUCUGGAUCUUCAUUCGUUUCUGAGUAAGUCGAAAUUGAGAUGCAGGGACGAUGAAAAUUGUCAUCAACAAGUAGAUCUGAAGAUUCAACAACAAAAAAUUGAGAAAGAUAAGUUUCUCCCUUCUAAUUUGUAAUCUGAAGAUUCAAAUCGAUCUUUUGAGAUUUUUAUAAACAUUUCUGAAGAUCAAAUCAACAAAAACCCAGAUCGAAGAACAAAAACAACAGAAUUUCUUUGAAACAAACGAUUUUCAAAUCUAGGAUGUUGAUUUGGAAGAAAAUAAGGCUCGAGAUUAAAGACGUUGUGAGAUUUAUGGAGGAUAUAUUGAAGUUUCAAUUAAGUUUGUUGUAUGUUAAGGACGUGGAUCUUUUCUGUUUUCGGUUUGAUGUUUAAGCAGCUGGAAUUCCGAAUAUGAGAUGGUUUGGGGUCGAGAUGGACUACAAUAUCCUUAUUAUGGAUCUUCUUGGACCUAGUUUGGAAGAUCUCUCUAACUUCUGUAGUAGGAAACUUUCUUGAAAGAUUGUUCUCAUGAUCAUAUGGUUGCAGAUAACUUCAUAAAAGCUGGUGGCUUAUUUGUGGUGGUGGAGGUGCAGGUUUUGGAGGAGGAUGAGGAGGCAGUGGUGGUGGCUAGCAGCGGUUUGUUGGGCCUAGACAGAUGCAUGUAACUCUCAAUUACACAAGAUAGAUGCAUAUGUAACUCUCAAUUACACUAGGUAGAUGUGUGUGUAACUUCUAGUUACACAUGCUAAGAAAUUAUUAUAAAUACAUGUAUAUUUUGUAUGCGUUCUUUUUGAUGUAUACUUUUUGAUAUGUAACUUUGUAUUACACAUGUCAUAACGAUGUGUAAUUGCUGGAUACACAUGGCAUAUGCAUGUGUAACUUCUGUUUACACUUUCACGCG